AUACAGACAGAAUUAAUUUGUGUUCUAGGAAGUGCAAGCCAAGUAACACUGCAGAACUGCUCCCUGGGGAGGACUUUAAGUAAGCCAGCCUUGAUUUUUACAUUUGAUUCUUGAGAACUGAAGGCAGUCAAGGCAGCUAUUUAUAGCGGAUACUGCUCUCUAUCAUACUUUUCUGUAAAAGUGCUGUAGAGAAAGAGAAGGGAAAAUAAUCUUUUAUUUUAUUCAUUUAUUUUUAGGUAAGGAAAAUGGGGGGAAAAAAUUAAAAACGUGGUGCUAAAUCCAAGUUGCUAAUCCAGUCUUCUGCAUAGGAAGGUCAGUUUACAGAAGAACUGGUGUGUUUCUGUUGACAUGAAUAUCCCAAGGAGCUGGUCAGCUCUGCAUCAGUUGGCCACUACAGCAAUAUCUGGCUUACCUCAGGGAAACGGAUAUUCUCCCAGAGAACUCAUCGCAGUUUUUGAAGACUCAUGGGGUGUGAAAAUACUUUGUGUUCCAUCAGCAGAUAAUAUUGGAAAAGAUGGACAGACGGUGGCCCAUGAAGUCACACUCCCUCAGCUCUAGGAUUUAUACAAAAGUGUGUCUCCUCCCACGGUUUGUUUCUGAUAUUGGUUUGUGUAGAUCAUCUUUAUUCCUUAUAUGUGUGUUGCAGAAGUCUGUGUAUGUUUUAAAAAAUAAUUUUUCUGUUUGGGUGAGACUCGACAAAGUGGGUGCCACUGAAGCAUAUUUGUGUAUCUCAGUGUAGUCCCAUCUCCUCUGAUACUGUUUCUUCUGUGCUGUAUUACUGCUGUUACUUCGAAACAAAACACAGCUGUUAAAGAAAAAGUGCAAAGAAAACUAUCAAAAAGGGACAGCGACUGCCUCAGAAUUGGCACAUUGAUUGAAGUAAACACCAGAAGCAUUGCCACUCGUGUUUCAAGAAGUGUAACAUAAAUAAUACACCCAUUAAUUGAAAUGCAUACAAUAUGGCUGUUCUUGAUUCAAGUGAGAAGCAUGAAAUGCAUUUAUUUUUAUGAAGAGUAAAACAGACUUUGCCAACCGUACACAACAGGGUGGGCAUCCCGCUAGCUCAAGUUCUGCCAGCCCACAGCCGGACCUAUUAGCAAAAAUGAAGUGACUUAAUACCCCGGGGCGUGAUUUACCUGUUUAAGAACUAUAUUGUUGCAAUAAAGAAAAAGUAAACCAAACCCAGGGGCUUCUUUCUCUGAUUUCUGUGGCCGUCGGACAGUAGGUUAUAUGUAGCUUUUCAUUUCGUUAUUUGUGUUUCUUUCUCCUUUAAUUGGGCUGUGAUACGUGAGGGUUUUCGGGUGCAGGCAACGUAUUAUUUUCUAUGUCAGGAAUGUAUCAAGUUGCUACCUGUGUGCCGAACCAUGCCUGAAAAAAAAAUGUAAUGGAUUAUAAGAAAAUGUGAAGAAAAAUAAAAAGAGAAAUGGAAAGAAAUGAAAUAAAUUGAAACAGAGUAAUAAAAUAAUAGAUAACAAAGAUAAAUAAAGUAAAACAAAACAAAAUCCGGCAGCGUCAAGUCGCUGCUGCAACGUCCUCGGGGCCUCAUGGAAGGCUACGUGCUCCGUGCAUGAGACCCCGGGCGACCUCGGCACGAGUGGGAGCUCCGUAACGGCGGCGUUGGGGCCGGAGAGCGGCCCCGCGGCUCAGAGAGGGCGAAGAAGGGGAAGCAGAGGCCGGCAGGGGCUGCACGGUGCGUCCCUCGGUGCGGGGCUGCCCCCGGCCGCCGCUGACAGCGUCCCGGGGCUUCCACCCGGCUGCGGGUACCUGCGCUGCUUCCACGCGACUCCUGCGUUCACUCUUCUAUGGGGGGAAUUCCGGGUCGGAAACGAGUGGAACGGGAGUUUCCUACCGCCGGGAGGGAUGGGUGGGCAGGAGGCAGAGCCGGGGAAAUGGAAAGGCGACCGGCCAGCGAAGAACAGGGAAGGCGUUCUGAUGCAGCCCCGCAGCUCCUUCCCGAGGUUGAGACCUGCCCCGCACGGACGCUGCCGAGAGGUUCCCGUCCACUGGAAAUAAUCAAACAAGACCCUACAAGUUGAACCGAAGAGCUGCCUCUUCCAGAGGAAAUUGAGCUCUUACGCAGGAGCGGAUUGAAGUAGCUCUUCCCCAUCCGCCCCUUGAAGUCAGACCGAACCCUCUCGCCUAUUCCAUCUCCUCUCCCACGCGUGGGGCCGUGGCUCCCACUUCGUGCGGAGUCUCCGCGCGAUGCCGGCCCUGGUCCCAUCCCACGGGCACGGAAGAAAAGCGUUCUAACGGCUGGAAUGGCAGAAGUCUUUCUCCCUGUGUCCUCCAUCCCCGCAGAGCCCUGCUCUCCCCUCCUCUCGGGGGCUGCGGAAGGACACGGUCCCGUCGUGCCGUAUUCCCCGCGCAUCCCUCGCAGCGCUGAGCCCCGGACAGACGGGAAGCACCGCACCGCCGCGCUCCUCCGCUCCGCACACGGGAGGUUUCCGGCCGCCGGGGCUGGGGGGGGAUUUCCAGGAGCGGCUGACAGCGCCUGAAGCGCGCUGAUCCAUCUGUGCAACGAGCUGAAACGCUCUCUUCUAGGAAGAUAACAGACCGCCUGCCCGAGUCUCACCUUCGGGGGCAACGUUAGGAGCACGAAGCCGCGGCCGGACAACAGGAGGCGCUGCGGCUUUGCACAACCUCGGCCUCCGCGCACGGCGCGGCACUGCUCAGCACGGCGCUGCCAGCGCGACUCAGCGUGUG
ensembl:lncRNA